CACGAACGCUGGCGGCAGGCUUAACACAUGCAAGUCGAGCGCCCCGCAAGGGGAGCGGCAGACGGGUGAGUAACGCGUGGGAAUCUACCCAUCUCUACGGAAUAACGCAUGGAAACGUGUGCUAAUACCGUAAACGUCCUUCGGGAGAAAGAUUUAUCGGAGAUGGAUGAGCCCGCGUUGGAUUAGCUAGUUGGUGGGGUAAAGGCCUACCAAGGCGACGAUCCAUAGCUGGUCUGAGAGGAUGAUCAGCCACACUGGGACUGAGACACGGCCCAGACUCCUACGGGAGGCAGCAGUGGGGAAUAUUGGACAAUGGGCGCAAGCCUGAUCCAGCCAUGCCGCGUGAGCGAUGAAGGCCCUAGGGUUGUAAAGCUCUUUCACCGGUGAAGAUAAUGACGGUAACCGGAGAAGAAGCCCCGGCUAACUUCGUGCCAGCCGCCGCAGUAAUAC
rnacentral:rRNA from 1 species